GUGAAUCAUCAAAUUUUUGAACGCAAAUUGCACUCCCUGGUAUUCCGGAGAGUAUGCCUGUUUGAGGGUCAGUUUAAAUAAAAUUCGGUGUGGUUGCUGUCUUUCGUGGUGACGCACCGGAUGUGGGUCGGCUUGCCUUCGGUUAAGUGACCUAAAAUUUUGUAUGACUUUUUCGAUAGUAAUUAAUUGAUUUUACGUACGUUUGCGAUUUCGAAAAAUAGGUGCGGACAUCCUAAUGAU
rnacentral:misc_RNA from 1 species